CACUAGAACAUAUGCUGGAGUUUUGUCUCACUGUCUCCUCUCCUCCUCAGGUUUCCAUGGGUAUAGCUGUUUUUGAUCUCAGUUCAUCUGCCUUACUGCAGUGUUUUUCUUGCUGUUGGAGGGGUUCUGCUAUUUCUGCCUCUCCUUUUCACCCUGCAGCCCCAAUUCCUUCUCCUUUUCCCCAGAAAGGUACUGGGGAAUUACAGUAGCAAAAAUAACAGUUUGUAGAGGCUCAAAAUAAUUUAUUCUCCCAAUGGCUUCCUUCUUUUUACUUUUGUUCAUUAUCCUAGAGACCUCCCUUGCUUCCCUUUUUGGCUCUCUCCCUUGCAUCUCCUGUGCUUCCCAUUUCUGCAGGCCCUAGAGCUAGACACGUGCCUGGGCUCAGGCCACCUGCUACAGAUGUUUGAGAUAUAGCCUAGAUAUAAUAAGGUGCUUGUCCACCUCUGCUACUUACAAUAUCACAAACAGAAGGAAAAAAAUUUCUACACUCCAAAUAUAUUUCUACACAUCUACGUUUCUAUAUUCCUCCAGGUGACUUCAUUUGCCACUUUCUGAUUGCUCUGCUAAAGCACAUGUAACCUGCUCAGUUGGUUCUCCUGCUGGAGUAUCUCCAUGCUGCUGCUGGCCAGCCCAUGCAGGCAGUGCCCUCCCUGAUACUCACAACUCAGCUGCUCUUCUUGCCUUAUUUAAGCAGCCAUUCAAUAUAUACUUUGAAUGAUUCUGAGGUCCGUUCAGCAGGAACUGCUGUGGUAGUAAGAAGUGUCAGUUGCACCAGCCUCCUUGUCCUUUCCCCUUCUUGGUUUUCCAGAGGAACAGGACCUCAGGAAUCCUAG
rnacentral:lncRNA from 1 species